rnacentral:tRNA from 1 species
GAAGGUAUGGCUCAAGUGGUAGAGCACGUGCUUAGCAUGCAUGAGGUCCUGGGUUCAAUCCCCGGUACCGCCU